rnacentral:rRNA from 1 species
GAUGAACGCUGGCGGCGUGCCUAAUACAUGCAAGUCGAGCGAACAGACGAUGAGCUUGCUCCUCUGACGUUAGCGGCGGACGGGUGAGUAACACGUGGAUAACCUACCUAUAAGACUGGGAUAACUUCGGGAAACCGGAGCUAAUACCGGAUAAUAUAUUGAACCGCAUGGUUCAAUAGUGAAAGACGGUUUUGCUGUCACUUAUAGAUGGAUCCGCGCUGCAUUAGCUAGUUGGUAAGGUAACGGCUUACCAAGGCAACGAGGCGUAGCCGACCUGAGAGGGUGAUCGGCCACACUGGAACUGAGACACGGUCCAGACUCCUACGGGAGGCAGCAGUAGGGAAUCUUCCGCAAUGGGCGAAAGCCUGACGGAGCAACGCCGCGUGAGUGAUGAAGGUCUUCGGAUCGUAAAACUCUGUUAUUAGGGAAGAACAAAUGUGUAAGUAACUAUGCACGUCUUGACGGUACCUAAUCAGAAAGCCACGGCUAACUACGUG